ACCACGCCCGGCUUCAUACCAAAUUUUUAAAAUGAAAUUAAAAUAUAGGCAUAUUGAGGGUCUUAUGCAUGGACAUAUUGAAGGGUUCAAAGAGACACAGAGUGUGCUUGAGGUUUGAUAAAGGCAACAUCUCUUCACUAUGUGAAAACUGGAAGGGAGCAGCAUUCAUUGUGUGGACUUUGAGCCCUUCAUCCCCUUCACUCUUAGGCUGGAAGCCACAAUGGGAUGUUCUAACCAUUUGAAAAUUUCCAUUUGUUCAAAGCUUGGCUUUGUAACCACUUGAACAUUUCUAUUACAUGGAACGUGGACUUCCAUGUCAGCUCUGCAUUCAAAUCAUUCUUCCACUAAGUUGACUUGACAAGUUAUUUUACUUCUUCUCUACUUGGUCCUUACAACAAUUUUGGGUAGUAUAUGUGUUGGGCAAAUAGGAUUUGUUUUUACCACUGCAAUUUAAACUUCAUAUUGGAAAGCACUUGAAUACUCAGAAAAGUUUCAAUUCUAUGACUCUUAUAAACACAUUUCAAACUACAGAUGUUUGAGAAUGCUACUUCGAUAAUUCUAAUAUAUCUUCAAUAAUGUAUGUACCUUAUAGAAAAUCUUGAACAGUAUAGAUUUUCAUAAUUAAGGCAUGAAAAACUGGGCUCUUUGAUUCCAGGUGUCCUCUUGUCCCUUCUGCUUUUGCCAUCUAUGUUCAAUAUAAUUCUAACCCAAUUCUAAGUACAGAAAAAAAUUUCUACCCUACCUGCUUUUAUAGCUCAUCAGAUUUCCCUAUAUCAGCUAUCACUUUUCUGGUAAGUGUCAUCCGAUUUCUGUGAUGCCUUUGCCACAAUCUUUUCUUUGAACAGUAGCUAAAAUGAUCUAUUUAAAGUGUUAAUCACAUUGCUCUAAUAUAUAAAGCCUUCAGUAGUUUCCCAUAUCACUCUAUAAAAUACCCCUUGCCAGCUUCUCCCAUCAACCCCACUCUUUCUGUUCCUUAUAUAUGCACAUCUCUUACUGAGCCUUUAUUUCGAUCCUCUUUGUGUGGGGAUGUUUCUGUCUCAGAGACAGUCUUUGUUCAGGUCCCCACUCUGCGGGCCUCUCCAGAGGGGUUGCUUUCACCACCUCUUCUAAAAUAAGCCUUUCUAAACACGCUUAUCAUGUUCUAUCCCUUAGCCUGCACUAACUUUUCAUAAUGCUUACCACUAACCGAAGUUAUUUUGCUUUAUCAUUUAAUUUCUUCCUCAUUAGAAUGUAAGCUUGUGAAAGAGUGGCAGGGAUGUGGUUUCCUCAUUAUUGUAUGUCCCUCACCUAAUCCUGUAACGGUGUCUGUUACAUAUUAGGGUAUGUAAUAAACAUUACUUGAGGAAUUCAUUAAUUUAACAUA